AAGUUUGAUACUGGCUCAGAUUGAACGCUGGCGGCAUGCCUAACACACGCAAGUCGAACGGAAACGAUGGGAGCUUGCUCCCAGGCGUCGAGUGGCGGACGGGUGAGUAAUACUCAGGAAUCUACCCAGUAGUGGGGGACAACACGACGAAAGUCGUGCUAAUACCGCAUACGCCCUAAGGGGGAAAGUGGAGGAUCUUCGGACUUCACGCUAUUGGAUGAGCCUAAGUCGGAUUAGCUUGUUGGUGAGGUAAUGGCUCACCAAGGCGACGAUCCGUAGCUGGUCUGAGAGGACGAUCAGCCACACUGGGACUGAGACACGGCCCAGACUCCUACGGGAGGCAGCAGUGGGGAAUAUUGGACAAUGGGGGCAACCCUGAUCCAGCAAUACCGCGUGUGUGAAGAAGGCCUGCGGGUUGUAAAGCACUUUCAGUAGAGAAGAAAAGCUUAGGGUUAAUACCCCUGAGUCUCGACGUAACCUACAGAAGAAGCACCGGCUAACUCCGUGCCAGCAGCCGCGGUAAUACGGGGGGUGCAAGCGUUAAUCGGAAUUACUGGGCGUAAAGCGCGCGUAGGCGGUCUGGUCAGUCGGAUGUGAAAGCCCUGGGCUCAACCUGGGAAUGGCAUUCGAUACUGCCCGACUAGAAUAUGGAAGAGGGAAGUGGAAUUUCCGGUGUAGCGGUGAAAUGCGUAGAUAUCGGAAGGAACACCAGUGGCGAAGGCGGCUUCCUGGUCCAAUAUUG
rnacentral:rRNA from 1 species